CUCUGGAUGACUAAGUUUUUGACAUCCUGUGACAUCCUUUUGAUUGAUUAUGUUCAAUGAAUUUGUCAUAAUUAAGUGCAUUUGAUUUAUCAGCAGUAGACAAUAUCUUUGACCAAUCCGAAUCCAUAUUAAGCAUCCCUAAUCUUCAAUUUGGGAUUUUCAUGCUCGAAAACUCUAGUUCGGGAAACAUUAGUAUUGUUUUUCUCUUUAGUUGCCCACAUAAAAUGUUGCGAAAUUCUGCUUUGUACACUCGAAUAAAGGAAUUCUCCAAGUUCCCAGUUUUAUUUUGUGCCAUCAUAUAUUAAAGACAUUGGAGACAUUGAUGAUUAUCAUUUUUUUUGUUUCACAGCUUGGUGCAGCAGAGGCUGACCGAUUUUGCAAGGAAUUCCAACAUGUUCAUAAGAAACUUGUUCAUGAAGAAUUGAGUUUGGAUGCUGCUAGGCGAUUUCUUAAUUCAACUAAAGCAUGUGGAAAGUAGUUUUCCUGGCCUCUUUACAUCUUUGGGUUAUUGACUAGUUACACUUUUAUAAUUACCUUUCUUAUGUUGUGGGGGUAUUUGUGAUUUUGAGACUCAUCUUUUUACUUGUUUCUUCUGGUUGCUUGAGCUUAAUAGAAGUAGCCCUCGAAUACAGGAUAUCAUAAAUAGAUUUUGAAGAGGAUGUUGAUGUUUAACUCGAUUGGUUUUUCUAAAAAUGAUUCAGAAUCACAAAAUUGGAAAAUGAGUCAGAAAACAGUUUGAUAA